rnacentral:rRNA from 1 species
UACGUAGGCAGCGAGCGUUGUUCGGAGUUACUGGGCGUAAAGGGUGUGUAGGCGGUUGUUUAAGUUUGGGGUGAAAUCUCCCGGCUCAACUGGGAGGGUGCGCCGAAUACUGAAUGACUUCGAGUGCGGGAGAGGAAAGUGGAAUUCCUGGUGUAGCGGUGAAAUGCGCAGAUAUCAGGAAGAACACCUAUGGCGAAGGCAGCACUCUGGGACGGUACUGACGCUGAGACGCGAAAGCGUGGGGAGCGAACAGG